rnacentral:rRNA from 1 species
ACGAACGCUGGCGGCAGGCUUAACACAUGCAAGUCGAACGCCCCGCAAGGGGAGUGGCAGACGGGUGAGUAACGCGUGGGAAUCUACCCUUUUCUACGGAACAACUGAGGGAAACUUCAGCUAAUACCGUAUACGGCCGAGAGGCGAAAGAUUUAUCGGAGAAGGAUGAGCCCGCGUUGGAUUAGCUAGUUGGUGGGGUAAAGGCCCACCAAGGCGACGAUCCAUAGCUGGUCUGAGAGGAUGAUCAGCCACACUGGGACUGAGACACGGCCCAGACUCCUACGGGAGGCAGCAGUGGGGAAUAUUGGACAAUGGGCGCAAGCCUGAUCCAGCCAUGCCGCGUGAGUGAUGAAGGCCCUAGGGUUGUAAAGCUCUUUCACCGGUGAAGAUAAUGACGGUAACCGGAGAAGAAGCCCCGGCUAACUUCGU